ensembl:lncRNA
UGGGGAGGCCGGGUGAAGGGUCUGGGGAAAACGAGUCCUUCUAGCCCCCUGGACACAGAGGAGGUGCAGACACUAGGGGGAAGGUGGUAGCAGGAGGCCUCCACGGCCCCAGGAGGAGCUCUCCUCUCCAGCUGUGAGGGCUGGUCACAGCACAGGGUCAGAGCUCUAAAGCCAGUGAUAGAAGUCUAGGGCUUGCUGAAUCUUCCUCCACAAAAGGAAUGACCCUGAGGACCGGGUCUCGGCUCUUCUCAAGACUCUCAGAACCCUCUCAGGUGAAUAGACAGCAACAUAAAAUGUGAACCGAAGGACGGGAGUGAUUGCCACUUGGGCCCCUCACUCGCUGAGAUAAGAAAUAAUCAAUUGCCUGGAAUUCGAGAAGGGAUUAUCUGGAAGCAGAAACCGCUUUCUCACAGAAACAUUCCUCUGCUCCCCCCGGGGAUGUGCCCCUCCCUGUGGGCACUGCCCAGCAGGUUCUAGCUGGAUCCAGGGCAGUGCGUGUCAAGGGUGGGGUCUCCGAGGACUUCCACAGCAUAGCCGGUCUCUGACCUGCCUCAGAGGUUCCCCGCUGGGCUGGGUAGGAGCAUCUCCUCCUUCUGGCAACUACUGUCCCACCAGCUCCUUCAUUCCACCCACAACCAGAGAGAGCUUCCUCAAAACCCAUUUUAUCGAGUUCCUCCCAGGCAGCUAAAAGCCCUCAAGAUAAAGUUCAGACUCCUUAACAUGGCUUAAGAGGCACUUGAUGAUCUGGGCCCAUUUAGCCUCCAAUCUCUGCCCCUGGCUCUCCCUACACCAGCCGCACACCGCCUGGACUGUCCUCAGGCCUGGCCUGCCCUGGAGGUCUCACCUGGGGCAUUCUCAAGACGCUUGUGCCCUUUUCAGUGCCUGGACGGGUAACACACUAGAUUGCUGUCGUGAGUGUUUACACUGCUCACAGCAGCUGCCUCAUGGUUAUGUUACAAGAAUGAUGCCCUUCCGAGCCCACAGGUGUGGCUUCUGUGAGGGGAAGGACGUGUCUGAUGCCACUCUGGAGGCACCUGGAACAGAGGAGGUACUUGGUGAAACUUUGUUGACUGGAAAAAUAAAAGAAUGAAUAACAGAUUAGGUACUCAGAAAAUGAUUGAAAAACUGAAAGAAUGAAUGAACGAAAGCCCCAUACACUUGAAACAUCAACCCCUAACCUCUUCCCUGGUCAGAGUUAGAUUCCUGGGUGGGAUGGAUUCUGUUUCUUAAGAAGCAUUAAAGUAUCACUGGACUGUAAAGGCAACAGAGGGC